AUUGAACGCUGGCGGCAGGCCUAACACAUGCAAGUCGAACGAGUGGCGGACGGGUGAGUAAUGUCUGGGAAACUGCCUGAUGGAGGGGGAUAACUACUGGAAACGGUAGCUAAUACCGCAUACCAUCGGAUGUGCCCAGAUGGGAUUAGCUAGUUGGUGGGGUAAAGGCUCACCUAGGCGACGAUCCCUAGCUGGUCUGAGAGGAGGACCAGCCAAACUGGAACUGAGCAACGGUCCAGACUCCGACGUGAGGCCGCAGUGGGGAAUAUGGCACAAUGAGCGCAAGCCUGAUGCAGCCAUGCCGCGUGUAUGAAGAAGGCCGUCGGUUUGUAAAGUACUUUAAGCGGGGAGGCGUUACCCGCAGAAGAAGCACCGGCUAACUCCGUGCCAGCAGCCGCGGUAAUUC
rnacentral:rRNA from 1 species